CACCCCUGAUUUUUUAUAUAUUAUUAUUGGGCUUCGUGUAGGUAUCCUCAAUUCGCGGAAAUUCGACAGUUGUCCGGAUCUGUGAAUUUCCGGCCAGACAGACCAGCUACCGGAAAAGUCUCCGAAUUGGAUCGAGGUUUUGGCUACCCCACCAUUGUCAGGCAUCCCGAGCGCGUUCCCGAAGUCGGAAUCGGCAAAGGUGAGCCGGGACAGCCUUCUUCCUCCGCCCAGCCGCCACAGUGAUUGUCGUCAAGUCUGCCACAGGAGGAUAUUUUUUUUGAGGUUAACCUGCUUUCUCCCUCGCAGGUCGAUUACUACUGUUUGUAUAAACUUGUUAAAUCUUAGAAUUUCCGCAUGUGUUAGAAAUGUUU